rnacentral:rRNA from 1 species
AAUAGAUACCCCGGUAGUCCACCCCGUAAACGUUGGGAACUAGUUGUGGGUCCAUUCCACGGAUUCCGUGACGCAGCUAACGCAUUAAGUUCCCCGCCUGGGGAGUACGGCCGCAAGGCUAAAACUCAAAGGAAUUGACGGGGACCCGCACAAGCGGCGGAGCAUGCGGAUUAAUUCGAUGCAACGCGAAGAACCUUACCAAGGCUUGACAUACACGAGAACGGGCCAGAAAUGGUCAACUCUUUGGACACUCGUGAACAGGUGGUGCAUGGUUGUCGUCAGCUCGUGUCGUGAGAUGUUGGGUUAAGUCCCGCAACGAGCGCAACCCUCGUUCUAUGUUGCCAGCACGUAAUGGUGGGAACUCAUGGGAUACUGCCGGGGUCAACUCGGAGGAAGGUGGGGAUGACGUCAAAUCAUCAUGCCCCUUAUGUCUUGGGCUUCACGCAUGCUACAAUGGCCGGUACAAAGGGCUGCAAUACCGUGAGGUGGAGCGAAUCCCAAAAAGCCGGUCCCAGUUCGGAUUGAGGUCUGCAACUCGA